rnacentral:rRNA from 1 species
CUUGGUUGAUCCUGCCGGAAGCUACUGCUAUUGGGAUUCGACUAAGCCAUGCGAGUCAAGGUGUCUUCGGACGCCGGCGUACGGCUCAGUAACACGUAGGUAACCUACCCUCAGGACUGAGAUAACCCCGGGAAACUGGGGCUAAUAUUAGAUAGAUAAAAGGUACUGGAAUGUUCUUUUAUCCAAAGCUUUUGCGCCUGAGGAUGGGCCUGCGUCCGAUUAGGUUGUUGGUGGGGUAAUGGCCCACCAAGCCUGCGAUCGGUACGGGCAGUGAGAGCUGAAGCCCGGAGUUGGGGACUGAGACAAGGCCCCAGGCCCUACGGGGCGCAGCAGGCGCGAAACCUCUGCAAUGCGGGAAACCGUGACAGGGGGAUCCCAAGUGCUCAUGCAUUGCAUGGGCUGUUCUUUGGUCUAAGUAACCAGAGGAGUAAGGGCUGGGCAAGACCGGUGCCAGCCGCCGCGGUAAUACCGGCAGCUCAAGUGGUAGCCGCGAUUAUUGGGCCUAAAGGGUUCGUAGCCGGAUAAGUAAGUCUUUGGUUAAAUCCUACAACUCAACUGUGGGAAAUCUAGGGAUACUACUUGUCUUGAGACCGGGAGAGGUUAGAGGU